rnacentral:tRNA from 1 species
UAGGCGGAAGCCUGUUGGCUUGGGCAUCUAGCUGUUAAUUAGAAUUUUAUGGGAUCGAGGCCCAUCCGUCUAG